CGGAGGGUGCAAACGUUGCUCGGAAUCACUGGGCGUAAAGCGCACGUAGGCGGCCUUGCAAGUUGGAUGUGAAAGCCCUGGGCUCAACCCAGGAAGUGCAUCCAAAACUGCUUGGCUUGAGUACCGGAGGGGUUCAGAGAAUUCCCGGUGUAGAGGUGAAAUUCGUAGAUAUCGGGAGGAAUACCAGUGGCGAAGGCGCUGAACUGGACGGUAACUGACGCUGAGGUGCGAAAGCGUGGGUAGCAAACAGGAUUAGAUACCCUGGUAGUCCACGCCGUAAACGAUGAGUGCUAGGCGGUGGGAGAUUUUGACCCUCUCGCUGUCGAAGCUAACGCGUUAAGCACUCCGCCUGGGGAGUACGGUCGCAAGACUA
rnacentral:rRNA from 1 species